rnacentral:rRNA from 1 species
CCUACGGGGAGCAGCAGUGAGGAAUAUUGGUCAAUGGACGCAAGUCUGAACCAGCCAUGCCGCGUGCAGGAAGACGGCUCUAUGAGUUGUAAACUGCUUUUGUACGAGGGUAAACGCAGAUACGCGUAUCUGUCUGAAAGUAUCGUACGAAUAAGGAUCGGCUAACUCCGUGCCAGCAGCCGCGGUAAUACGGAGGAUUCAAGCGUUAUCCGGAUUUAUUGGGUUUAAAGGGUGCGUAGGCGGUCGGAUAAGUUAGAGGUGAAAUCCCGAGGCUCAACUUCGGAAUUGCCUCUGAUACUGUUCGGCGAGAGAGUAGUUGCGGUAGGCGGAAUGUAUGGUGUAGUGGUGAAAUGCUUAGAGAUCAUACAGAACACCGAUUGCGAAGGCAGCUUACCAAGCUACUUCUGACGUUGAGGCACGAAAGCGUGGGGAGCAAACAGGAUUAGAUACCCUAGUAGUC